GAAGCGUUUCGUCACCGGUGUGGCGCCUGGACUUCAAAUCCAGUGGAACGGUUAACCCCGUUCGGUAGGUUCGACUCCUAUACGCUUCCGCCA
rnacentral:tRNA from 1 species